rnacentral:tRNA from 1 species
GGGGAUAUAGCUCACUUGGUAGAGUGCUUGCCUUGCAUGCAUAAGGCCCUGGGUUCAAUCUCCAGUACCACCA